GCAAGUAGUUUCACGUAAUGACAUUUAAUUAAUUCUCAGCAUGAUUUUUUAAAAUGUGUUAUUUUUUAUUCUUUCGUUUACUUGGAAUUUAAAUAGGACUAAAUAGUAUGAUGAAAUAUUUCUUAAGUGUCUGUAACUGUUCGAAGCUACUCCUCUCGGAGAGAAAUCGUCGCAUCGAGCUUCUUGUCGUUCGAUUUUGCUCUCAUUCGAAAUCAUGAAAAUGAAAGCUUUGUUUGCAUUUUUAACCCUUAGCAUUCUUGCAGUUGUUUUUUCCGAAGGAAAUGUCACUAUAGUUUAUAAAGAUGCGAAUGAUAGACAUGAUGUCCGUCACACUGCGACUGAUCCAGGAAAAAUGAAAGACACUGCUCGAAAUUUUUUCAGUCUUGAUGCAAGCCGAACAACUACUGAGGAGCCAAUACUGCGCAGAAUUAUUAUAAACCCACCUGUCAAAGUGGAAGAACGCUAUGAGCCUAUUGUAACAGGCGCUUCAAAUAAAAGCCUAAUGCAAGGAUUUAAACCCUUAACAA